rnacentral:rRNA from 1 species
AACAAACGCUGGCGGCGUGCCUAAUACAUGCAAGUUGAGCGCUGAAGGUUGGUACUUGUACCGACUGGAUGAGCAGCGAACGGGUGAGUAACGCGUGGGGAAUCUGCCUUUGAGCGGGGGACAACAUUUGGAAACGAAUGCUAAUGCCGCAUAACAACUUUAAACACAAGUUUUAAGUUUGAAAGAUGCAAUUGCAUCACUCAAAGAUGAUCCCGCGUUGUAUUAGCUAGUUGGUGAGGUAAAGGCUCACCAAGGCGAUGAUACAUAGCCGACCUGAGAGGGUGAUCGGCCACAUUGGGACUGAGACUCGGCCCAAACUCCUACGGGAGGCAGCAGUAGGGAAUCUUCGGCAAUGGACGAAAGUCUGACCGAGCAACGCCGCGUGAGUGAAGAAGGUUUUCGGAUCGUAAAACUCUGUUGGUAGAGAAGAGCGUUGGUGAGAGUGGAAAGCUCAUCAAGUGACGGUAACUACCCAGAAAGGGACGGCUAACUACGUGCCAGCAGCCGCCGUAA